GGAAUCGAUGCAUAUGAUGUGU
rnacentral:siRNA from 1 species